AGGAGCAGGGCGAAGAUAUUGAAAACUUUCAAGGCUGCUGCAGGAACAUAAACGGCCACUGUGAUUCCUGAGGGACAGGUCAUUUGAAUGCUUAUGGAUAUGGGCACCCUAUAGACCAAAAUGUGUGAAAAAUGCUGGGUGGGAGCCACCAGCCCAGGCUUGGGUCAGAAGGAAAAACAAGGGAAAUGUUGCUCCUCCUUCUGCCACAGACACUGCCUCUUCUGUCAGAAGUACUUACAUUUUUGUCUGAUAUUCUGCUGAUAAAAUUCCACUGAUGGAAUAGCAACUAUAGCAAACCUUCAUGCUUGCUGAAUUUGUGAACAAGAAGGGAAUAAGGGCCACACUAAACAAACAAAAGUCAAUCAUCAAGAAAUAAGUGGGGAUUUUAGCCUGCCCAAAGAAAAGAGUGUGGCUGUAGCAGCAAACAGUUGAUCCAGUGUGCCAUAAAUUUCCAAUUCAGAUGGCAGCAGAGGUCUCAGUGAAAG